UACGAAGGGUGCAACCGUUGCUCGGAAUUAUUGGGCGUAAAGCGCACGUAGGCGGCUUAGCAAGUCGAAUGUGAAAUCCCUCGGCUCAACCAAGGAAGUGCAUCCGAAACUGCUGAGCUUGAGUACUUAAGAGGAUCGCGGAAUUCCCGGUGUAGAGGUGAAAUUCGUAGAUAUCGGGAGGAACACCAGUGGCGGAGGCGGCGAUCUGGGAAGAUACUGACGCUGAGGUGCGAAAGCGUGGGGAGCAAACAGG
rnacentral:rRNA from 1 species